GGUGUGCAUUCAGGGCUGUAAUCUAAAGAAGAAUGACCCCACAGCAUCACGUGACCUAGCCAGGUUUCUGUGUCUCCUGCCUUGUCUCACCGACGUGACGAUAAAGGACACUACUCUACAGUCAAUACGAAGAUCCUUUCCUUCGUGAUGAUUUCUACCACGAACUUGCUCGUCAGGCCUCAUCCUCAAAGAUGGAGAAGGUGUGCAUUGAGGGUUGUAAUCUAAACGAGAAUGACCCCACAGCAUCACGUGACCUAGCCAGGUUUCUGUGUCUCCUGCCUUGUCUCACCGACCUGAUGAUAAAGGACUCAGACGAUCAAUACAAAGAUCUUUUCCUUCGUGAUGAUUUCUACCACGAACUUGCUCGUCAGGCCUCAUCCUCAAAGAUAGAGAAGGUGUGCAUUCAGGGUUGUAAUCUACGUGAGAAUGACCCAACAGCAUCACGUGACCUAGCCAGGUUUCUGUGUCUCUUGCCUUGUCUUACCGAACUGACG